rnacentral:rRNA from 1 species
CAGCCGCCGCGGUAAUACGUAGGGUCCGAGCGUUGUCCGGAAUUAUUGGGCGUAAAGGGCUCGUAGGCGGUUUGUCGCGUCGGGAGUGAAAACCAGCAGCUUAACUGCUGGCCUGCUUUCGAUACGGGCAGACUUGAGGCAUUCAGGGGAGAACGGAAUUCCUGGUGUAGCGGUGAAAUGCGCAGAUAUCAGGAGGAACACCGGUGGCGAAGGCGGUUCUCUGGGAAUGUUCUGACGCUGAGGAGCGAAAGUGUGGGGAGCGAACAGGAUUAGAUACCCGCGUAGUCCCUGUCUCUUAUAU